GAAAUGGGCGGGGGUGCCUAAUACAUGCAAGUCGAGCGGACAGAUGGGAGCUUGCUCCCUGAUGUUAGCGGCGGACGGGUGAGUAACACGUGGGUAACCUGCCUGUAAGACUGGGAUAACUCCGGGAAACCGGGGCUAAUACCGGAUGGUUGUUUGAACCGCAUGGUUCAAACAUAAAAGGUGGCUUCGGCUACCACUUACAGAUGGACCCGCGGCGCAUUAGCUAGUUGGUGAGGUAACGGCUCACCAAGGCAACGAUGCGUAGCCGACCUGAGAGGGUGAUCGGCCACACUGGGACUGAGACACGGCCCAGACUCCUACGGGAGGCAGCAGUAGGGAAUCUUCCGCAAUGGACGAAAGUCUGACGGAGCAACGCCGCGUGAGUGAUGAAGGUUUUCGGAUCGUAAAGCUCUGUUGUUAGGGAAGAACAAGUACCGUUCGAAUAGGGCGGUACCUUGACGGUACCUAACCAGAAAGCCACGGCUAACUACGUGCCAGCAGCCGCGGUAAUACGUAGGUGGCAAGCGUUGUCCGGAAUUAUUGGGCGUAAAGGGCUCGCAGGCGGUUUCUUAAGUCUGAUGUGAAAGCCCCCGGCUCAACCGGGGAGGGUCAUUGGAAACUGGGGAACUUGAGUGCAGAAGAGGAGAGUGGAAUUCCACGUGUAGCGGUGAAAUGCGUAGAGAUGUGGAGGAACACCAGUGGCGAAGGCGACUCUCUGGUCUGUAACUGACGCUGAGGAGCGAAAGCGUGGGGAGCGAACAGGAUUAGAUACCCUGGUAGUCCACGCCGUAAACGAUGAGUGCUAAGUGUUAGGGGGUUUCCGCCCCUUAGUGCUGCAGCUAACGCAUUAAGCACUCCGCCUGGGGAGUACGGUCGCAAGACUGAAACUCAAAGGAAUUGACGGGGGCCCGCACAAGCGGUGGAGCAUGUGGUUUAAUUCAAGCAACGCGAGAACCUUACCAGGUCUUGACAUCCUCUGACAUCCUAGAGAUAGGACGUCCCCUUCGGGGCAGAGUGGACAGGUGGUGCAUGGUUGUCGUCAGCUCGUGUCUGAGAUGUUGGGUUAGUCCCGCAACAGCGCACCCUUGAUCUUAGUUGCCACAUUCAUUUGGCACCUCUAAGUGACUGCCGGUGACAAA
rnacentral:rRNA from 1 species